AAGCAUCAGCUAUGUCUAUUGUUAGUGUAUUUUAUGUGUGACCCAAGACAAUGCUGCUUCUUCCAAUCUGGCCCUGGGAAGCCAAAAGGUUGGAUACCCC